GAUGAAGAACGUAGCGAAAUGCGAUAAGUAAUGUGAAUUGCAGAAUUCAGUGAAUCAUCGAAUCUUUGAACGCACAUUGCGCCCGUUAGCAUUCUAGCGGGCAUGCCUGUCCGAGCGUCAUUUCAACCCUCAGGGUCCCCGUUCCGGCGGGGAACCUGGUGUUGGGGAUCGGCCCGCCCCGCGCGGCGCCGUCCCCCAAAUUCAGUGGCGGUCUCGCUGCAGCCUCCCCUGCGUAGUAGUUACAACCUCGCAUCGGAGCUCAGCGCGGCCACGCCGUAAAACCCCCGACUUUCUGAACGUUGACCUCGGAUCAGGUAGGAAUACCCGCUGAACUUAAGCAUAUCAAAAGCGGAGGA
rnacentral:misc_RNA from 1 species